ACAAACUUGGUCAUUUAGAGGAAGUAAAAGUCGUAACAAGGUCUCCGUAGGUGAACCUGCGGAGGGAUCAUUACCGAGUGAGGGCCUCUGGCCCGACCUCCAACCCUUUGAUAUCAAAACUUGUUGCCUCGGGGGUGACCCGGCCCUGUCGGCGCCGGGGCCCCCGAUGGACCCACCAACUCUGCAUCUUUGCGUCGGAUGAAAUAAAGUUAAUUGAUUAAAACUUUCAACAACGGAUCUCUUGGUUCUGGCAUCGAUGAAGAACGCAGC
rnacentral:misc_RNA from 1 species